rnacentral:rRNA from 1 species
CAAUAGCGUAUAUUUAAGUUGUUGCAGUUAAAAAGCUCGUAGUUGGAUUUCGGUUAAGAGCGACCGGUCCGCCGUUUGGUGUGCACUGGUUGGUUUUAACUUCCUGUAGAGGACGUGCUCUGGGUUUAACGACCUGGACUCGGAGUCUACGUGGUUACUUUGAAAAAAUUAGAGUGUUCAAAGCGGGCUUACGCUUGAAUAUUUCGGCAUGGAAUAACACUAUAGGACUCCUGUCCUAUUUCGUUGGUCUCGGGACGGGAGUAAUGAUUAAGAGGAACAGUUGGGGGCAUUCGUAUUUCAUUGUCAGAGGUGAAAUUCUUGGAUUUAUGAAAGACGAACUUCUGCGAAAGCACUUGCCAAGGAUGUUUUCAUUAA